rnacentral:rRNA from 1 species
GGACCCGACUGCUAUCAGAAUAGGACUAAGCCAUGCGAGUCAACGUAGCAAUACGUGGCAUACGGCUCAGUAACACGUAGUCAACAUGCCCAGGGGACGUGGAUAACCUCGGGAAACUGAGGAUAAACCGCGAUAGGUCAUAAUGUCUGGAAUGAUUUAUGGCUAAAAUCUACAUGGCCCCUGGAUUGGACUGCGGCCGAUCAGGCUGUUGGUGAGGUAAUGGCCCACCAAACCUAAAACCGGUACGGGCUCUGAGAGGAGAAGCCCGGAGAUGGGCACUGAGACAAGGGCCCAGGCCCUAUGGGGCGCAGCAGGCGCGAAAACUCUGCAAUAAGCGAAAGCUUGACAGGGUUAUUCUGAGUGAUUUCCGCUAAGGAGAUCUUUUGGCACCUCUAAAAAUGGUGCAGAAUAAGGGGUGGGCAAGCCUGGUGUCAGCCGCCGCGGUAAUACCAGCACCCCGAGUGGUCGGGACGAUUAUUGGGCCUAAAGCAUCCGUAGCCGGUUCUACAAGUCUUCCGUUAAAUCCACCUGCUUAACAGUUGGGCUGCAGAGGAUACUAUAGAGCUAGGAGGCGGGAGAGGCAAGCGGUACUUAGUGGGUAGGGGUAAAAUCCGUUGAUCCACUGAAGACCACCAGUGGCGAAGGCGGCUUGCCAGAACGCGCUCGACGGUGAGGGAUGAGAGCUGGGGGAGCAAACCGGAUUAGAUACCCGGGUAGUCCCAGCUGUAAACGAUGCAGACUCGGUGAUGAAUAGGCUUCGUGCCUAUUCAGUGCCGCAGGGAAGCCGUUAAGUCUGCCGCCUGGGGAGUACGGUCGCAAGACUGAAACUUAAAGGAAUUGGCGGGGGAGCACCACAARGGGUGAAGCCUGCGGUUCAAUUGGAGUCAACGCCGGGAAUCUUACCGGGGGCGACAGCAGAAUGAAGGUCAAGCUGAAGACUUUACCAGACAAGCUGAGAGGAGGUGCAUGGCCGUCGCCAGCUCGUGCCGUGAGGUGUCCUGUUGAUCCUGCCAACGAGCGAGACC